GACGUAGGAGGCGAGCGUUAUCCGGAUUCACUGGGCGUAAAGCGCAUGUAGGCGGCUGGACAAGUCGUGUGUUAAAGCCCCUGGCUCAACUGGGGGAGGUCAUGCGAGACUGUUCGACUUGAGGGCAACAGAGGCACGUGGAACUCCCGGUGUAGCGGUGGAAUGCGUAGAGAUCGGGAGGAACACCAGUGGCGAAGGCGACUACCUGGCCUGUUCUUGACGCUGAGGCGCGAAAGCUAGGGGAGCAAACGGG
rnacentral:rRNA from 1 species